GGGAAUGUAGUGCAUCAGCAGCUCAUACAGAUCACGUCAGUGUCUGUGAGGCUGGUCACUCAGGACAGCAAGGCUCUGGUGAGCGAGUGGAAGGAGCCUCAGGGCAGGAACAUCAGCGUGGCGUCCUGCAACAGCUCUCAGGUGGUUCUGGCUGUGGGUCGAGUGCUGUAUUACCUUCAGAUACACACAGGA